CAUAGCGAUUAUCGUGGCAUAUCAAUAAGCGGAGGAAAAGAAACUAACAAGGAUUCCCUUAGUAACGGCGAGUGAAGCGGGAAGAGCUCAAAUUUGAAAUCUUCAAGGUUCUACCUUGACGAAUUGUAGUUUAUAAGAAGUGUUUUCUGUUUGGAGUUGGCUAAAAGUUCUUUGGAAUAGGACAUCAUAGAGGGUGAGAAUCCCGUAUUUGACCAUUAUUUCCAGCUGUGUGAUACACUUUCAAAGAGUCGGAUUGUUUGGGAAUGCAGUCCAAAAUGGGUGGUAAAUUUCAUCUAAAGCUAAAUAUUGGCGAGAGACCGAUAGCGAACAAGUACCGUGAGGGAAAGAUGAAAAGAACUUUGAAAAGAGAGUUAAACAGUACGUGAAAUUGUCAAAAGGGAAGCGUUUGACACCAGUGUUGUUUUCUCGAAAAUCAAUUAAAAAUGAUGGGAUUUUGUGUUGUAUUGACUUUAUCAGCUUUCUGCACUUUUUUCUUAUCUUUUUUAAUGCACUUUUCGUUUAACAAGUCAACAUCAAUUUCCUUUGUUGUAAAAGAGUCAUUGGAAGGUGGCUUUUUCUUCGGAAAAAGUGUUUAUAGCCUUUGGCUUCUGCAAUCGGAGAGAUUGAGGUCUGCAGCGUAGAUCCUUCGGGGUUAGAUACAUUUGUGCUAAGCUAUAGUUCUUUAUAGACAACUUGUUGACUAUAAUCAAUCCUGUAACUUACUCGCUUAUGCUAUUUUACCUACGCUUAGGAUGUUGACGAGACUGUCGAUCUC
rnacentral:rRNA from 1 species